AAUCCGAGUUAGGGAGAGACUUGCCAGGGAUGAGGGCCGCCAGCAGAGCCCAGAGCCGGCAGAAGUUACAGAUGUGCCAAUCUACCACAGACCCCGGACCCAGACCUCUACACACCAACACACAGCUCCACCAGGGCCCCAGCAGGUCUACCCCCAUCACCCCCAGCCUCAUCUCACUCGACUUGGGCCCUUGGGAGGUCAAGAUAUUGCGAGUUACCCAAGUUAUCUGACAAUGGCUUCCGGUCCUGGACUGCAAGAGCCGCUGGAAGACGAUACUGAGGAAUCUGAGGUUUUCAAGACAGCGGGCCUCCUCAGGAGCAGGAAAGCAGUGCUGCCCUCAGAGAUACGCCGCAGGGAGAGGAGCACUGAGGACCCACUGAGAGGAAGGGGGGAAGAGGAGCAAGGGAUGACCACGGCGAAUGAGGUAGAGGGACCGGCGAGAGGACGACGACAAAGCAGAGAAAGGUGGGACGAAACAGAGCCGACCUUCCGUCUUCAAGCCUCAGGGAGAGGGCCCAGACGGCAAGAUACUGCCAUUUAUAUCCACAAAGGGAUGGCCGCCACCCAGCCCCAGCCCAGGGCUUCCCAUGCAGCACAGAUUCGCUCCGUGUCAGAGGCUCGGGAUCCACGAGGGUUCAGUCAGAGGAACCCGCAGCAUGACUGCCAAGUAGUCCGUGAGUGUGACAAUGUCGGAAACCAAGAGCGUCUCCAGGAUAGCCGGGUGUCAGUGGCCCAGCUCAGGCACUCCUACAUGGAGAGCGCCACCACCACCCCUCACACCGACCGCAUCAACGAGCUGUCCCGGGUGAGUUCAGAUCUUGCUUCCACUGAAGGUAAGACGUUGGUUUUUUUGCAAAGAUUUGACGUAUGUUUGAUUGAAUGGGAUUUUCAAAGUAUAUCUCCAGCAGUAAAACAAGUCAUAAUGCAUGCAUGCUUUUUGACAAACGUGGUCAGAGGUUUUAUUACCCACAACUAA
ensembl:lncRNA